UGAAGAUCUGGUUCCCGUACAAUCACCGAAGUUAAGCUACGUCGAACCUAGCCAGUACUUAGAUGGGUGACCGCUUUGAAAUACUAGAUGCUGUAU